CACAAGUCCAGCACUUCCCCGGUCGUUCCACUUUUUGAUGCUGCACUUGCGAUGGAUGAUGUACACUUUUCUUUUUCUUUAUUGGACUUGUUUUACCAUAACUGGGUCAACACAAUGUCACAAAAAGUAUACACUUUUUCAACAUUUAGAAUAUAUUAAGUAAUAAAACCAAGAAAGGCAUGUCGGUUAUUUUCUUUGCUAGUGCAAUCACGUGAAGAUAUCCCCACCACCAUCAUCUGCAGAUUUCACCAUUCCUGUCCAUCGAAUUCCUCCUUGAAGUACAGGAAGAAGAAGAAGAAGCGUCACCCCUCGACAGCAUCCACAGAGAGAGAGAGAGAGAGAGAGAGAGAGAGAGAGAGAGAGAGAGAGAGAUGGAACCACCUCCGACCCAGGACAUUAGCAAGAGUUACUCAGUGGCAGAGGACGAAAAGGACCAAAAGGACAAAGCCAUCAACGAGUGUUGUUCCUGCUGCUAUGACUGCUCGGACAGCUGCUUCGAUUACAUCUUCUGCAACCUUUGCUAGUGGGGCGACCCCCUCCAGAUGACAGAUAUGGAAGACUUACCAUCAAAUUCUGAUCUGCGGUUUCUCUUCAUCAGCAAAAACUGUAGAGCACGCUGAGAGAGAAACGUGGUGCUAUUUAUUGGGUUCUCUCUGAACUGUUCUGUGAUGGUUAUGAAGCACUGGAUUUCAGCUAGAUAGUAUUUUUUUUUUUCUGGCUUGUUGUCUGAUGCAAGAAAAUCUCUGUUCUGUGAUCUCGUGUUUGAGAUGUGGCUAAAGGUCGAGGUCCAAUAAUUUGGAUUUCGGAUUACA